AAAAGCAAGCAUCUUCUGACUGUUGAAGCCUUGGUUGGCUUUUGGAUCCUCGUUGUGGUCUUGCAUGUGGUUUUAAAUGUGACCUUAAAUGUAACCUUAAAUGUGAACUUAAACUAUCUUCUCUGUUACUCUGUUACCCGUGAUUUUGGUCUGACAUAGGAAAAGCGAACCCAACGGAGGAUUGCUGAUGAAAUUUAUUCCGAAGGAGGAAAAGCAAAUGUUGACUUUAUUAUGGCCACCAAGUUAAUUUGACAAGAGACUUCACUGAGCCCACCGAGGUUAACAAGAUGGACUUCUUAACCAGCUGUCAACCAAUUUAAUAUAAAUGGAUCUUACUUGGGACUAUUUUUGGAUGGACAAAAACUGGACAAAAGAAAAUCAAAGGAUUGAUCUGAAAAGUUAACUAAACAACAGGGAAAUGCAACAAGCAGUGAGAAAAUACAUAAACAUGAAGUGGACUUCUGAGUAUCUCAGUAGAUGGCUAGAUUGAAUGUUAUAUUUCAAUUAUUAUUACAAAUGUUGGUUGAAGAAACGCAAAAUGGUAUAAAAAAGUGCGAUAAAAAUGAAACCUCUUAAAAGAGUCACGGUUAUGGCCUGAAGAAGCUGUUAAAAAUAUUGUUGAUACAGAUGAAGGUGGUAAAAGCAGAUGGAAUCAAACUCCGGAAGUUUCUAGGUGAGAGAAUCGACAUUUCCCAUUUACCGCUGUUUUUAUCCGAUGAUUGGCAGAAUAAUUGUAAUUUCUGGCAUUUCUAUCAGAGACACGUCCAAUCUGAAGACCAAUAUAAACCUAGAUCAAUUGAAUCAUCUAUUGACACAACUUUUAAAAUUCAACCGAAUGGUGACUUAGUGAAUGGAUAAAUAAAGGAAUUAAUAAUUCAUAAAGAACCCAAUGUACUGUAUGUAUUAUAAAGAGUAAUUAAUACAAUUAAAUAUGAUUU